UACGAAGGGGGCUAGCGUUGCUCGGAAUCACUGGGCGUAAAGCGUGCGUAGGUGGUGGUUUAAGUCUGUUGUGAAAGCCCUGGGCUCAACCCUGGGAAUUGCAGUGGAUACUGGGUCACUAGAGUGUGGUAGAGGGUAGCGGAAUUCCCGGUGUAGCAGUGAAAUGCGUAGAGAUCGGGAGGAACAUCCGUGGCGAAGGCGGCUACCAUGGACCACACUGACACUGAGGCACGAAAGCGUG
rnacentral:rRNA from 1 species